rnacentral:lncRNA from 1 species
GUUUGGAUCUUGAAUGUUCCUCAGAAGCCCAUGUAUUAGAGGCUUUGUUACUGGGAUGGAACUACUCGGAGAUGCUGGAAUCUUUGAGAGAUGAAGCCUCAUAGCAGCACCAUAGGUGGUGUUACCCUUAUAUGGAGACCCUAGAGGAUGUUGUAUAUUGGAGAAGACCCACUACACUGCUGGCCCUUAGUGAAGAAGUUGAAAAUGCCUGUGCAGCAGUCUCAGUGACCAAGGUUACCCGAGCAGCAGUUCGCUGAACUAAUAAACACCUGGAAGCUCACGGCCACCACUCGGAGCACCUCUUCUAAUUGUAGAGGCCAAAGGGUGGGGAAAGAUGGAGAGAAGGAAACCAUUGGGAAAAGAGAACACAGGUGCAGACUGUAGCUCUGCAUCUUCCAGGAGGACUUUAGAGAUGCUUGUUGGAGGGCAGAGAAAUGCAAAGCAGCACUGCUAGGACAUGAAAGAGGAGGGUGUGGAGGAGAGGAGAGUGCCUGUAAAGUAAAGGUGAUUAUGACCUAGUCUCUCUCAUCACUGAGACUUGGAACUCACGGAAUAAUGUACUGGGGAAUUUCUUAAUGACAUUCUGGCUUCUACAGAGGGAUGAAGUGACACAGCUCUUCAUAUUGAUGAAAGAAAAAUACAGAGGAACCCAGCUCCUGACCAGGGCCCCCCAGCUGAGAAAACUAGGUGGAGCCACAGUUCGGAGGAGCCGAGGGGAAGGGCAAUGACCGCCAGGACUUUGGGAGAAGGGAUGAUGCUGAUAGCAAAGCCUUUCUUUCUUAUGGGGCUGAAGUGAAGUCAGAUGUGGAGUUGUGGGCACUGGAAAUCUAAGGAGAGGUUCCUAGAUUCUCACCUCCACAAACCAGUGCCUAUAGGGAGCAGAGAAAAGAAGUGGAGAAUGAAGGCUGAAGACAGAGGAAAAGGAAGAAAAAUAUUCUAGUGUGAAAUUCUGGAGCAAGAGGGCCUGUGAUAAGGUUUGCUUAGACCGGGAUGAGGUACAUUCCCUCAAGGCCAACUGUGCAUGUGGACAACAGAAAGGGGAAAAAAUACAACCAAGCUGCGAAUGGUGCCAUGUGUCUGUAAUCCCAGCACUCAGGAGGCUGAGGCAGGACAAUCACUAUCUGAUGGUGGAAUUGGAAUGGAGUGGCUGCAAACUGACCUCCUGUUUGGGAAACCAUUGACUUGUUUCCAGGCAUGGACUGAAUGGAACCUAUGGACUACGUGGCCCAAGAAGCAUCUGUGUAUAAAGUCAAGCUCGAGACAGAAGUGAUUUUCUUCUUCACAUUGACCAGGUUUCAGCAGGGCUCACCCAGUGUGGUGUCUACUCUUGCUUCUCUUGUUGUCUCUACGAGCGGUUUCACUGGUGCCAAGACAGUUUCCCGUCAGACCGCCAGUGUCUUCUUAUUGGACCAGAAAGCCUCCUCUCACCAGAGUCCAAAUUCAUGUGCCUACAUAUGACCAGGUACAGUUGCAGACAAACAACCACAAUCGCCUAUAAAUGGCCUCAGCCGGAUCUUUCCCCUCAG